AAAAGUCUCAAUUUGGGACUUCAAUUAUUUAUUAAGAAAUUAGGAUUAUUUAUGUCUACAACUACUGGUACUGUUAAAUGGUUUAACGAAGCUAAAGGUUUUGGUUUUAUUGAACAAGAGUCUGGCCCAGACGUUUUUGCUCAUUUCAGCCAAAUCAAAGGUGACGGUUUCAGAACCCUGAAUGAAGGUCAACGUGUUGAGUUCACUGUAACUCAAGGUGCUAAAGGCCCUCAAGCAGAAAACAUUACUGCUCUGUAAGACAUUUGUUUACAGAAAAGAAGAAAAGCCUCGUUUUUACGAGGCUUUUUUUU
rnacentral:other from 1 species